GCCGCUUGCUGAUUUGUCUCCAGUUUGCAGCUCAUUAGAAGAGUGAUGCUGAAAGUCCUCUUAGCUGGUGUUGUCUGGUGAAGAUCAGGCUUCAGGAUCAAUGCUGUAAUCCAGAAGUCGGUGUUUCCAGGACCCAUAUGUCAGUGGAAUGUCCUGCUCUGUGCGUGCCAUAGUCUCUUGGCAUUUGUGCAGCCUUUUGCUUGUCUUCAUUACAACCAGAGGCAGCAGCUAUGCAGUCAUCUGUAUUGAGCAGUAAUGCAAUGACAGUUUCCAUCAGUUUCUCUCGUGAAUCUAUUAG